CAGCCGUAAACUAUGCGCGUUAGGUGUAUCGGUGACCACGAGUUACCGAGGUGCCGAAGGGAAACCGUGAAACGUGCCGCCUGGGAAGUACGGUCGCAAGGCUGAAACUUAAAGGAAUCGGCGGGGGAGCACCACAACAGGUGGAGCCUGCGGUUUAAUUGGACUCAACGCCGGGAAGCUCACCGGAUAGGACAGCAGAAUGAUUGCCGGGCUGAAGACCCUGCAUGACUAGCUGAGAGGAGGUGCAUGGCGUCAGUGACU
rnacentral:rRNA from 1 species